GAUUUCUUGGGGGGGGGUCAUGUGGGGGUUAGAGGUGACGGGAGGCCCCCCUCUGUCCAGGGGGAAGAGGAUGGUUGGGGGAGGCAGGGGAUCCCCAUCUUUUGAGGGGGCCUCCAUCUGUCCGGUGUCACAUCCCCCCUUUGCCGAGCACGAGAAAAGGGCCCAACACUCCUCUCCAGCUGCGGGGGCCAGUUCUGGUGGCGCAGGGGGGCUCCAGCUGCUGGGUUGUGGGGGGACGACACAGGGGGAGGUUCGCUCCUGCCCCCUAGG